GAGUUCAUUCAGCUUUAGUUGUAAGUAUAUAAUAGGCAAUUUUUUUCCUUAUGGAAUGUUCACUGACAUAUAGAAAGAAAGAAAAAGCAGGACGAGAAAAACUAUAAAAAAAUUGCUAAGGCUAUACAGAAAUAAUAUUCUGAUCAGAUUCAUCUUACAUAUGCUAGCAUGUUGGAAUAUAAAUUAAAUAUGAUCUACUUAUACCCAACAUUGAGUUUAGUAGGUAUCACUGAGGAAUGCAGUUCAUGAGUACUGUUAGUUUUUUCUUAUUUCAAUUUAUUAGCUUAAUAUGUUUUUCUUGAAUUCUAUUGUUUGGCUUUUGGAAAAUAUAAAAUGGUUAUAGCCUGGUCUGACUUGCAAAAAGUACUAGCCUUAAUCUUACACAGUUGGCACUUCUUCAUCAUAUCUACCUUCUCUUUUUUGAACCGUGUUCAUCAUGCCUCAAUCUCAAAGAAGAUACAUUCAGAGAAAAAGAAAGCUAGGGCCUUCGACGAAAUGCAGGCCAAAGUUGAGAAAGAGAUGGACAGUGUUUAAGGUUGUUGAAGAUGAAAACCUGACUCUUAUCCUUCAGGAGACAAAUUGAGACAAUUAAUUUCUUUUUUCAAUAUUUCUUUUCUAUAUGUGAAAUCACUUGAUAUGUUAUGGUAUGUGAUUCUAAAAGUAAAAAUGUAAACUAGACAAAAUUUAAAUGGAAAAAUAUAAGCUGAUUGUUGAUAAGCGGUGAUCUGUGGUUGGAAAAUGUGAUGGAAUUUUAACGAAAAAACAUAUUCGAUUCCUUGACAUACUAUAGUCGUGUAAGUGAUGUUGUAAAAAUACUUUAGUGACG